AUUGAACGCUGGCGGCAGGCUUAACACAUGCAAGUCGAGCGGGGUGAGGUGCUUCGGUACUGAUCCUAGCGGCGGACGGGUGAGUAAUGCUUAGGAAUCUGCCAUUUCGUGGGGGACAACAUUCCGAAAGGAAUGCUAAUACCGCAUACGUCCUACGGGAGAAAGCAGGGGAUCUUCGGACCUUGCGCUAAAUGAUGAGCCUAAGUCGGAUUAGCUAGUUGGUGGGGUAAAGGCCUACCAAGGCGACGAUCUGUAGCGGGUCUGAGAGGAUGAUCCGCCACACUGGGACUGAGACACGGCCCAGACUCCUACGGGAGGCAGCAGUGGGGAAUAUUGGACAAUGGGCGGAAGCCUGAUCCAGCCAUGCCGCGUGUGUGAAGAAGGCCUUUUGGUUGUAAAGCACUUUAAGCGGGGAGGAGGCUACCUGGAUUAAUACUCUGGGAUAGUGGACGUUACUCGCAGAAUAAGCACCGGCUAACUCUGUGCCAGCCGCCGCCGUAAAAC
rnacentral:rRNA from 1 species